rnacentral:lncRNA from 1 species
AUGCCGGGGAGCUGGCUCAGAGACAGCCACCGGGAGGGACGAGCCAGCCCUCCUCUCCUCGCCUCUCCUCUCCCCGAGCCGCUGCCACACUUGGUUCAUUCCAGCUGCAGAAGCUCAGAGCCUUCCAUGCGCCGAGCUGAGGACUAUCCCAAUCGCAAAGGGGGAGAAAAAAGGGGGAAAACCCAACAACAACAAGCAACCCCCAGCACACCCCAUUCCUGCCACCCUUUGACAUGCAACCUGCCUUGGGAUGGGACAAGCUGGGAUGCAGCUGCAGCCUUGGAAGGAAUUGGGGGAAAUUGGGGAUCUUUGCUCUCAUGACGGUGGAAGUGAGCUCCUGGAGCCGGGUGCUGCUGCUCUCCGUGGGGCUGCUGGCUGUCUCAGCGACCGGUAAGUGUCAUGGAGAAAGCUGGCAACUUUGGGACUAUUUGCCUUCCUGCUGCUUAGAUCCAGGGACCACUGUUAAUCCGCUUUCCUGGGGACUCUGGGGUGUGUGUAUGUGUGUACUUGUAUGUCAGCACAUGCUUCCCUGUAGUGUUCAAUAAGGAGUGGAUUUUCCUCAGACCUUUCUGCGAGAUAGUUUGCCUCAGUCCUUUGGGAGCAACAAUUUUAAAUGAUACGGUUAUAAUAGGUGGCUCUAUUUGUUUUUAUUUCUCCUUCUGGUGGCUCAAAUAUCGUGUGCUCACUUGCCAGACAAUGUGCAAGAUGACUGAAAAAUGCCAUCACGGUUCCCCCUCUGUCUUUCCCUUGCAUCUUAAUUCAUUAUUUCACUACCCUGCUAUUUGGCUGUAGCUGAUAUAAUAGGUUUAGGACUCCUUGCACGAAGAUGGAAGCACUCUCCUCUUAUUCUUCCUGCAUUUCAAGUUGAUGUGCUCUUAUAGAUGAGCUCCUCAGUCUCAGCAUCUUGAUUUUUGUGAAAAUGUUUAUUGACUUGGAAGACAGAGACUUGAAUUUGGAGGAGGGGGCGGGGGGGGGAAUUUGCUUACGUCUCCUCCCUGGUUUCUGCAAUUGACCUUGUAGCAAAAGCAUAUCUAAGGACUGAAGUUUAUUUCUGGUGUAAACAGCAAAUAUUUAGGGACUGUCCUUAUAUGAGCGAG